GAAAGUAAUGAAGGGCGUACGGUGGAUGCCUAGGCUCUUACAGGCGAUGAAGGACGUGAUAAGCUGCGAAAAGCCGCGGUGAGGCGCAAAUGGCCCUUGACCCGCGGAUCUCCGAAUGGGACAACCCAAUAUCUUGAAGAGAUAUUAUCCCGCCGAUGCGGGAGGCGAACGCGGGGAACUGAAACAUCUUAGUACCCGCAGGAAAAGAAAAUAAAGAAUGAUUCCCCCAGUAGUGGCGAGCGACCGGGGAAGAGCCCAAACCGACGUUGUCUCGGCAUCGUCGGGGUUGUAGGACCGCGCCAUCGCAAGAAAGGCCGUGAGUGGAAGCGACUGGAAAGCCGCGCCAUAGAGGGUGACAGCCCCUUACACGAAGCAGCCCGAAGCGUAGCGGACUCCUGAGUAGCGCGGGACACGAGUAAUCCUGUGUGAAUCCGCCGGGCCCAUCCGGCAAGGCUAAAUACUCGUAAGAGACCGAUAGUGAACCAGUACCGUGAGGGAAAGGUGAAAAGUACCCCUUGCAGGGGAGUGAAAGAGUUCCUGAAACCGUACGCCUACAAGCGGUCGGAGCAUCUUGAAUGAUGUGACGGCGUGCCUUUUGCAUAAUGAACCUACGAGUUGCCGUCACCAGCGAGGUUAAGUGCGAUGACGCACCGAGCCGCAGCGGAAGCGAGUCUUAAAAGGGCGCGAUAGUUGGUGGAGGCAGACGCGAAACCGAGUGAUCUACACUUGUCCAGGAUGAAGUCCCGGUAACACGGGAUGGAGGUCCGCACCAAUAAGCGUUGAAAAGCUUCUGGAUGAGGUGAGUGUAGGAGUGAAAGGCCAAUCAAACUCGGAGAUAGCUCGUACUCCCCGAAAGGCAUUUAGGUGCCGCCUGUGGCGUUCCCGACGUGAGGUAGAGCGACUGAUAGGAUGCGAGGGCUUCACCGCCUAUCAAGUCCUGACAAACUCCGAAUGCACGUCGGCCAAGCCAUGGAGUAAGGGCAUGGGUGCUAAGGUCCGUGCCCGAGAGGAGAAGAAUCCAGACCACCGGCUAAGGUCCCGAAAUACUGGUUAAGUUAGACUAACGCAGUCCGGCCCCCAAGACAGCUAGGAUGUUGGCUUGGAAGCAGCCAUUCAUUCAAAGAGUGCGUAACAGCUCACUAGUCGAGGAGCUGGGCGUGGAUAAUAAUCGGGUAUGAAACCAGUUACCGAAGCCGUGGGAUGCUUAAGCAUCGGUAGGGGAGCAUUGCAUGCGGCUUAGAAGGCGGGGCGUGAGCCCCUCUGGAGCGCAUGGAAACGCAAAUGUAGGUAUAAGUAACGACAAGGGGGGUGGGAUGCCCCCCCGCCGAAAGACCAAGGUUUCCUGAACAACGCUAAUCGGUUCAGGGUCAGUCGGGUCCUAAGCAUAAGCCGUAUGGCGAGGGCGAUGGACGAAACGGUUAAUAUUCCGUUACUGUCUUGGUGUGUGACGCGGCGACGGAGUAGUGACACGGCCGCCUCCUGACGGAAAAGGGGGUUGAAGCGCAAAGGUGUCGAGGAAGGCAGGCAAAUCCACCUUCCGAGCCGAAGCGCGAAAGUACGCCGGGCCCUUUGGGGCAAGGCGAUAGUGCCGGUAAUCAGACUUCCAAGAAAACCCGCUAAACUUCAGCACCAAGUCACCCGUACUCUAAACGGACACACGUGGUCGGGUAGAAUAUACUAAGGCGCUUGGGAGAUUCACGGUUAAGGAACUAGGCAAAUUGACCCCGUACCUUCGGAAUAAGGGGUCCUCGCUUUUGCGAGGCGCAGAGAAUAGGUCCAGGCAACUGUUUAACAAAAACACAGGGCUGUGCAAAAUUUGAAGAUGAAGUAUACAGCCUGACACCUGCCCGGUGCCGGAAGGUUAAGAGGAGAGCUUAUCGCAAGAGAAGGCUUGAAUUGAAGCCCCGGUAAACGGCGGCCGUAACUAUAACGGUCCUAAGGUAGCGAAAUUCCUUGUCGGGU
rnacentral:rRNA from 1 species